AUCGUUUAUUUGAUAGUACCUUACUACUUGGAUAACCGUGGUAAUUCUAGAGCUAAUACAUGCUAAAAACCCCGACUUCGGGAGGGGUGUAUUUAUUAGAUAAAAAACCAAUGCCCUUCGGGGCUCCUUGGUGAAUCAUGAUAACUUAACGAAUCGCAUGGCCUUGCGCCGGCGAUGGUUCAUUCAAAUUUCUGCCCUAUCAACUUUCGAUGGUAGGAUAGUGGCCUACCAUGGUAUCAACGGGUAACGGGGAAUUAGGGUUCUAUUCCGGAGAGGGAGCCUGAGAAACGGCUACCACAUCCAAGGAAGGCAGCAGGCGCGCAAAUUACCCAAUCCCGACACGGGGAGGUAGUGACAAUAAAUACUGAUACAGGGCUCUUUUGGGUCUUGUAAUUGGAAUGAGUACAAUUUAAAUACCUUAACGAGGAACAAUUGGAGGGCAAGUCUGGUGCCAGCAGCCGCGGUAAUUCCAGCUCCAAUAGCGUAUAUUAAAGUUGUUGCAGUUAAAAAGCUCGUAGUUGAACCUUGGGCCUGGCUGGCCGGUCCGCCUCACCGCGUGUACUGGUCCGGCCGGGCCUUUCCUUCUGGGGAUCCCCAUGCCCUUCACUGGGUGUGGCGGGGAACCAGGACUUUUACUUUGAAAAAAUUAGAGUGUUCAAAGCAGGCCUUUGCUCGAAUACAUUAGCAUGGAAUAAUAGAAUAGGACGUGCGGUCCUAUUUUGUUGGUUUCUAGGACCGCCGUAAUGAUUAAUAGGGAUAGUCGGGGGCAUCAGUAUUCAAUUGUCAGAGGUGAAAUUCUUGGAUUUAUUGAAGACUAACUACUGCGAAAGCAUUUGCCAAGGAUGUUUUCAUUAAUCAGUGAACGAAAGUUAGGGGAUCGAAGACGAUCAGAUACCGUCGUAGUCUUAACCGUAAACUAUGCCGACUAGGGAUCGGGCGAAGUUAUAUUUUGACUCGCUCGGCACCUUACGAGAAAUCAAAGUCU
rnacentral:rRNA from 1 species